rnacentral:misc_RNA from 1 species
GAUGAAGAACGCAGCGAAAUGCGAUAAGUAAUGUGAAUUGCAGAAUUCAGUGAAUCAUCGAAUCUUUGAACGCACAUUGCGCCCCCUGGUAUUCCGGGGGGCAUGCCUGUCCGAGCGUCAUUACAACCCUCAAGCUCAGCUUGGUGUUGGGCCCCGCCGCCCCGGCGGGCCCUAAAGUCAGUGGCGGUGCCGUCCGGCUCCGAGCGUAGUAAUUCUUCUCGCUCUGGGGGCCCGGCCGCGUGCCCGCCAGCAACCCCCAAUUUUUUUCAGGUUGACCUCGGAUCAGGUAGGGAUACCCGCUGAACUUAAGCAUAUCAAUAAGCGGAGGA